CUGCUUAGGAUUGAUGGGUCUAAACCCUCAGC
rnacentral:piRNA from 1 species